GUGUCAGCAGCCGCGGUAAUACGAAGGUGGCAAGCGUUAUUCGGAUUUACUGGGCGUACAGGGAGCGUAGGCGGUUCGGUAAGCCCUCUGUGAAAUCUCCAGGCUUAACCUGGAAAAGUCGGGGGGGACUGCUGGGCUAGAGGACGGGAGAGGAGCGCGGAAUUCCCGGUGUAGCGGUGAAAUGCGUAGAGAUCGGGAGGAAGGCCGGUGGCGAAGGCGGCGCUCUGGAACGUUUCUGACGCUGAGGCUCGAAAGCGUGGGGAGCAAACAGGAUUAGAUACCCUCGUAGUCC
rnacentral:rRNA from 1 species